CGUCCAGAAAAUCUGGAAAAAAGAAGUAGCCUGCCUAUUUAAAGGGGUUUUCGAUAGUUUGAGCAUCUGACUUCAAACGUUGCAGCGGCCGAGCCAGGGAUUGUGGCUGACUCCAGUAAUCCCUUGGUUUGGGAGGCUGAGGCAGAAGUGCUGUGAAUUUAAUACCAUCCAGGGCUACAUAGCAACAGAUUGUUUCGCAGUUAAAAAAAAAAAAAAAAAAAAAAAAAAAAAAAAAGGACUGGGUUUAAAUUCUUGCUUGCCUCAGUUCUUUUGUAAUUUUUCCUCCAGCCUCCCCCUCUCCACUGGGAUUACUUGUUACAUCGUAUUAUCGCUAUUUAGGAAAUUGUGAAAGAAGAUCCCUUGCCACACCUCUUUCCUACUUGUGCUGAGCCCGGGAUCUUUAUUUUUCCUGAAAGGUUGCACUACUUGCCCAAUCUAGAAGCCCAAAUCAGCGUAUGUCACAUCUUUUUAUUAUCUUUCGAUAUCCAUUCCAGCACCAAACCAAAGCAAUUCAGCCUCCCAUCCCCAUUGCCACUCUCCUAAAUCCCAGAAGGGGACCUACCCGGGAAUAUUAAAUCUCUGGAGUAAUCAUGGUGGUUUUAAAAGGUGGUUAUUGAAUAAUGCUCAACUUAUUAUCUGCAUUUUUAGACAAGUUACUUCUGUGAGACCCAAUUUCCUUAUUUAUGCAUCUCUUUACUCAAAAAGUAUGGAAUGGGAGUCCCCCCAGUACCAGGAACUCAAGGAAAAUUUCAAAUUAACCUAUUCUUUUGGGUUUUCGUUCUUGUGCAGAGGGAGGAUCUUUAAAAAAGAAUUUGAAAGUGAAACAUGUUAAAUGGAGCUGAAGUUCCAGGAGAAAAACAAGGGGACUAGGACAUGAGCAAGCUGCAUCUCCUCAAGACAGUAGAGGAAGCAAACCAGUUCAGGAUCCUGACCCAGGGAAUGGUGCUACCCACAGUGGGUGGGUCUUCCCACAAUUAACCUAAUCAAGAUAACUCCCACCAAGGCAUGCUCAGUCUCUCAGGAAUCAGGACUUUGGUACUCUGGGUUAGGAAAGCAGUAAGAUGCUUUAAGUGCUACUUAAUAAGGCCAUAGUAAUAGGAGUAUAGAAGACAGUGGCACUAAGCGUUAUUUGAAUGUUGGAUGCUGACUCAAGAGGUUUCAGAGAAGGAGAAUUUUAGAAUGUGGCCGAGAGAUUGUUUUUGUGAUAAUUUGGUGAAGAAUGUGGCUGGUUUUUGCCCUUGUCCAAAGAGUCUGCCUGAGGCUAAAGUGAAGAGUUUUGGAUUAAUUCCAUUGGCAGAGGAAGUCUCAAAAUAGCCUAGUAUAGUUAUCAGUGGUAUGGUUAUCAGUGGUCACUGUAAUGAAGAUUUAUAAUGAAAUGGAGCAAGCUGAGCAGGGUAAAUUACAAACUGUAAAAUUUGAGGAGGAAAGGAGCACUAGGAAGUGGAAUGGAGAUAAAUCCUGUGUUCAAAGAGAUAAACAGA